rnacentral:lncRNA from 1 species
AGGUGUCAUGCCUCGGUGCCAAGAGGACAUGCCUGUGGUACCCCCACAGGUGGUUAUAGCUCAGGUAUACCCUACGGUAUUCUAACAAAAUAUAAUGUCACAACACAUGCGACAAAAUAUCAACACAAAGGGGUUCUAACGUGUACAUGUUAAAUCGAACGAAACAUCAACACAAGUCUCUAUAAUAUACUAACAUGUACAUCACUACGAAAAUCGAAAUAAAUAUGAUAAACGAGUUCAAAGAGUACAAGUUAUGAUAUUCUAAAGACUCAAGAUAAAUUGUCAUAUGAACUUCACUAAGAUCAAGGUAUCGAGACAAUAUACGAAAUCAAAACGAGAAGCAAAACGAACAAACUAAAAUUAAAGAGUAUCGCUGAAUAAGUACGGAAU